UAUUGAAUUAUAAUUUUAAAUUAAAAAAAAAUUAUUGUGAAAAACGUUGCGCUGAAAUAGUGAAAAGCCGAAAAAAUUAGGAGGUGUAUAGGGCAAGAGUUGCCUUUCUUGCCCUUUCCAAAAUGUUGGAUUUGAAGUUCAAUUUCCUGUCCAGGUAUUUUGCGCUUUCUGUAAAUGGAAAAUCCUCACCACCCAAGGAGAUAGGUUCCACUGUAUGCCUGCAAUUCGCCAGGCCCUGAUGAUGUAUCACCAGUAGAUAUUAUAUUGACUUGGAAAACGGCACUGAUGAUCAAGAUUUCUUGGUAUUGCCCACAAAAUGCUAAGAUAGAUCUGUAAACGACAAUUUAUCUUUUUUU